rnacentral:rRNA from 1 species
CCUACGGGUGGCAGCAGUGAGGAAUAUUGGUCAAUGGGCGCGAGCCUGAACCAGCCAAGUAGCGUGAAGGAUGACUGCCCUACGGGUUGUAAACUUCUUUUAUAAAGGAAUAAAGUGAGGCCCGUGUGCCUUUUUGUAUGUACUUUAUGAAUAAGGAACGGCUAACUCCGUGCCAGCAGCCGCGGUAAUACGGAAGAUCCGAGCGUUAUCCGGAUUUAUUGGGUUUAAAGGGAGCGUAGAUGGGUUGUUAAGUCAGUUGUGAAAGUUUGCGGCUCAACCGUAAAAUUGCAAUUGAUACUGGCAGGCUUGAGUACAGUUGAGGGAGGCGGAAUUCGUGGUGUAGCGGUGAAAUGCUGAGAUAUCACGAAGAACUCCGAUUGCGAAGGCAGCUUACUAAACUGCCACUGACAUUGAUGCUCGAAAGUGUGGGUAUCAAACAGGAUUAGAUACCCGAGUAGUC